rfam:Schistosoma mansoni strain Puerto Rico chromosome 1, complete genome
AUCUAGCUGACAAGUCCCAAAUAGGACGGAAUGCAUGUACUGGAU